GUUCUGAUCUGUGGUUCUGCAGUUCUGCCUGGUUCUGCAGUCACUCCACUGUCGAUGUUCUCUGCUGCCGUGGUGUAGCGGUAGUAGCGGUUGUAGAUGUUCUCUGGUCAGCCAUGGUUCUAUGUAUGUUCUGCCUGCUUUGUUCUGUUCCCGGGACCGUGGUAACUGUGGUUGAAUUUCGAAGGGUUGUAGAGUGCACGGAGGCGUAUGCAUCGCCUUUAAAAUGUUCCAAGUACAUGGAUGGCAUAGAGCCGGGGUGCCCGCGCUGUGGCCACCCCAAAUGCACCUUACAACACAUGCUGUGGCAAUGCCCUGCGUUGCACGGGAGCAGCGAGUCUCCCUCUAUGGAGGCUGACUGGAACUACCUGCUCACUAGCCAAGACAAAGGAGACCAGCUUAGGGCCAUCCAGAGGGCCCGUGACAUGGCCGUGGAGUUUAACCUCCCCGUCCCGUCGUGGGAGUGGCCCACCGGUGUCACCCCCUAAAGAGGGUCGAGCGCCGCCUCCGGAUAAUAAUAAAGUUCUUUGCCUGCCUGCCUGCCUGUUGUGGUAAGUCCCAUGUGCUAUAUUUGGCGUCAACGAGCCAUUUGUAGCCCAGGGCAUGUCCACAGGAGAUGACUCAAUUUGGCUUCUCACUCUGGCACAGGAGAUAACGAGCAGCUCACAGCAGUGUCCAC